GAGACAGACGCUCCCAGGUGUUCUGUAUUCAGGUCACCUCUGGGUGCAGGGUGGCUGCUGCUCCCCUGGGCUCUGUGUCCCAGGUCCUGCGAUGCCUGACAAAGGCUGCAGCCAGAUCACUGGGGCACAUGCGAGGAGGAAACAGAAUGGACAGGCCGCAACAUGCCAAGCCACUAAAAGGAUUGACGCUUUAUUCUUCAGAGGAGAAAUACCAUUGUGGGGUCUACGGACCUCUAUCUAAGGCUUGUUAAAACAAAACAGAGAUGCUUAUGCUCUGGAAAGACGCCCGGGAUCCACUGGGCAGAAUGGCAAAGGAAAGAUCCCCAGCACGGAGCUCAGACAGAUGUCCUCGGCGGAGCUGAGUGCGGGGGUACAGGGUGUGGGGGUGCAUCAGUUGUGCUCUGACAGGUGCACAGGGUCCCCUUUCCCUUUGGCACCUCGGCUGCCUGUGCUUCUGGACCAACUGCCUGUUGAGAAAGCCUCUCUGUGUCCAGAAGUGAACUAUGAAAGGCCCUGAGUGGAUGGACUAUAUGCAAGGCACAGGAAGGAGGCCAAGCCCUCAGGAGUGGCAUCCAUGUGCAUUUGGGGCAGAGUGACGACUGGAAAAGACUGACCACGGCCCAGGCUCCCUGCCUUUCAGCUGCCAGUCUGCUGGGAAGUCACUUCCAUGAGGGUGGGGAGAGGUGAUGGCUAUUGACACCCAAGUUACACCUACCAAUGACCCAGUGGCUUCGGGCCUCACAGGCAGUGAGUGGACAUCUAGGCACCUGGAAUGCACCUCUAGGGCUCUGUGCCCGGGCUCUGAACAAGGAGAGAAGCCGCCGGCCCUCCUCCUGACCACUUCACCUCCGGCAGGAGACUAAUGAUGCACCUAAGUUAAUUCACUCGACUCUGGGACUAUGAGGCAGUUCAUCCACACGCUCCAAACUCCAGCUUAUUGUAGGAGACCAGUGCCUCGAUCUCAUGAGGUCAUCUCGACGCCUCAGCUGUAACCCUUGGAGAACCUGUGGUCUCUGCUCCUCUGCCUGCUGACAUGAUCAUCCCAGGUGCAAAACAGGCAUCGGAAACAAGAGGUGAAUUCUCCCCAUAUGACAGGAAAUUGGUGCAAAUGACCAGAGCCCCCCACCUCUGAGAUACGGAGUCAGAGUCGGAGCUACAAUGACGGAUGACAUCAGCAUCAAUGUCAGCAUCCCCUCCAGCAUCACCACCGUCUACCAGCAACAGGGAAUGUUGCAGGUUUGUUUCCUGUUCCUUCUCCACGUGCUGUGUGCCAAGCACAGAAAGCCUCAGUGACCAGCUACUGAAUUAACCAGAAUAUGAAUGAGAAGAAUGACAUUGGAGAAACAGCAGUGUGGCAGUUGGGGCACGGGAAGCAGUCCUGACCCCACUCUUAACUAGCCAUGCGCAAGUCCUGGGCCCUGGCUUCCUCAACACUGAGGCAGCAAAAGCAGAUUCAACAGUCACCACAACCCCUGUCGUGGCAGCAUUCUCUUUUCCUCACAUGGACAGAUGCUCACGUCGGUGACGAAGGCACUGAGGUGCCAAAGAGCUUCCCAGAACAUCAAGGGAAGACUGACUGACAGCUGGUAGAAUAAGUGACAAAUAUCCCUUUUCUUGGAAGACAAUUUAUGCGUGCUGAAGUGGGAGAAAUGUAUUACUAUGAACGCUGUCUUACUCAACUCUGUUGCAUAGCUCAGAAUUCAGUACAGGUAGAUUUAAAAUAGUCUUACAUACAGAGCAGUUUAAAAAGUAUUGUGGAUUUCUGAGUGUCCAGGUUGGAUCCUUGACACUUAAGCACAUCCACUUCUGUUAUGGCUCCCUCUGGCUACAUAAGCUUUGGUGAUUUCUUAAUGACCAAGUGAGUAGCUUGUAAGCAAGGCUGAGAAACAGGAAGAAGUCCUCUUUGGCCAUCUGGUAUAUUGAUUCAAGUGAACACCACUCACUGGUCACCUGCGGACCAGAUGUGGCCUGCAGGUGUUUCAUUUCGCCAAAAGAAAUAUUUUUCAAAUUGUAAUGGGUUGUCAACAUUUAAAAAUCAUAUUUUUAUAUGGAAAUAUGGAUUUAGUACUUCUGCUGAAAUACUGGAAGAACUGGCAAUCUAACAAUUUCUGAAUGGCAAUGACUGACCAGAGCUGAGUCACAACGGUUCCUGUCAGAGACCGGGGGUUCUCUCCAGUGGCCUCCGUUAUAUGACACAAAGAGGGGUUCACUCAUUUCCAUUCCUUUCUGGCUGCAGUGGGCACCUGCGUUUGCCACCUUUCUCUUAAACAACAAGGAAUUGCUGAAGCAGAAAUGCACAGCCAGGGAAGCAGCUGAUUUUCUCUCAUCUUUUUCCUCCUCAUUAGCAUCAAUAAUUAAGUUUGGGACUGAUUCUUUUUAUGUCUUCAUAGCUAAAGUAAAAACUUUUGUUAGGAGCUAGUAGAUACUUCCCACCUCUUCUAAUUCAUUUUACUAAGCAUUAAGAUAACAUUCCUGGAUGGGCACGGUGGCUCCCACCUGUAAUCCCAGCACUCUGGGAGGCUGAGGCAGGU
rnacentral:lncRNA from 1 species